rnacentral:rRNA from 1 species
CUACGGGGUGCUCCAGUGGGGAAUAUUGCACAAUGGGCGCAAGCCUGAUGCAGCCAUGCCGCGUGUAUGAAGAAGGCCUUCGGGUUGUAAAGUACUUUCAGCGGGGAGGAAGGGGGUAAAGUUAAUACCUUUGCUCAUUGACGUUACCCGCAGAAGAAGCACCGGCUAACUCCGUGCCAGCAGCCGCGGUAAUACGGAGGGUGCAAGCGUUAAUCGGAAUUACUGGGCGUAAAGCGCACGCAGGCGGUUUGUUAAGUCAGAUGUGAAAUCCCCGGGCUCAACCUGGGAACUGCAUCUGAACUGGCAAGCUUGAGUCUCGUAGAGGGGGGUAGAAUUCCAGGUGUAGCGGUGAAAUGCGUAGAGAUCUGGAGGAAUACCGGUGGCGAAGGCGGCCCCCUGGACGAAGACUGACGCUCAGGUGCGAAAGCGUGGGGAGCAAACAGGAUUAGAUACCCGGGUAGUC